UGCAGCGGCCGUCACAGGGAGUAAAAAGCGGGUGGGGGUGCAGGGUGCUCAGGGGAAGGCGAGGUGUGACGACACAAAUCUCAACCCUCCCCUUUUGCAGAGAGAGAGGCCAAAUCAGGGGCAGGGCGCAGGAUCCGGGGUCCAGCACAGGAUCCAAGCGCUGCUGGGGCGGGCCCUGGGAUGCGGGCAGAGUGGGUGAAAGCAGUAUGUUGUGACCCACCUUCCACGUGCCUGCACAAAGGUUGUGGGUUGUGCAGGGGGCUGUGCUCCCCAGAGCAUCCCUGUCCACUCCAGAGGAGGCAUCAGGGUUCUCCAAAAUCUGCUCUGGCUGCAGGACACGGCGCCAUGCAGGAGAGUCAACGGCAGAUGCAGUCACAGACAUGGUGGCUGUCACAGCUACUGGUGGUGGAACUGAACUACCCCUGCUGCUAGCCCCUGCAUUUAGCAUCUGCUCCAGGAUCAAUCAGUCCUGUUCCACAUUCCUACACUCUUCAUCCAGGGACUUCUCCCUGCUCCCAUUGUGUCCCGCUUCUUCUUCACCCUCUUGAACUCCAGGCACUCUUUGCUCCUGCAUACCACAACCCUGAAAAGGUCCUCUAUGUUCCUCAGUGUGGGCCAGUUUUAGGAUCCAGUGUCCUGGGUGGGAGGCUUGGCCAAGCAGAAAGUGCCUGUCGGUGGAAUGAAACAGAUAGCAUAUUAAUUGUAUUGCUGCGAGGAAAAAAAAAAAAGAAUCCCCCCACUUUGCUUUCUCCAUCUACACAUGGCUGCGGGUUGCGGGUUUAAUCCUUUAUGAAUUCUCCUGUGCAGACCCUCCUACUUCUAGCAUCAAGAGAGCCCCACCCAUACACCAUGAUAAGGAACAUUCAUUUUAUUUAAAAG